rnacentral:lncRNA from 1 species
ACAGGUUUAAGAGAGAAUUGGAUGGUAUUCAGAUAGAGUUGCAGGCAACUGAUCCAACUGAAAUGGGUCUUGAUGUCAUUAGAAGCCGUGCCAGUUAAGUGUUUAUAGCCUGUGGCGUUGAACCUGACUGAAUUAUGAAAUCGGUUUGUUUGUUUGAGUUUUAUCCGAUAGCCCUCUUCUGGAAUCAAUCCAGUGAUUUUGAUUGUAUUUUUUUAUGAUCCAUCAUGUAAUGAACCUAUGCGAUGUGUGUUUCCUUAUAGCCAUACUUACAGUCUCUGUUGUACCAGUACUUGUUUUUUACAUUUCUGAAAAUGGAUGUUCCGACAAUUUCUCAUGUUUGCAUUAGAAGACUUGUUCUAAACAUUAAUGAAAUAUAGCGAUAAAAAACUUAAAGAGUUACUGGAUUAGUGAGAUUUAUAAACGAGUUUAAGAUUGUGAUUCAACUGCAGAUGGGAAUUCUUGGAAUUUUAUCUCUUUUUUUUGUAAUUUAUAUAGAGAUAGUUUUGUUAUUCCAAUUAGGGAAAUUGUUGCACGGUAUGUGGAUGCUAGGGUAUCAUUUGUCCCAGAUCAUGAGAGGGAGUCAUGCGUCUCCAAUUUAUUUAUUUACUAAUUUCUUGAAUUAAAAAUUGGUAAGAAUAGUUGAGAAAUAAUAAAAAAUGCCAUUCAAAAAAUUUGGUGGUUAUUUUCUUUUUAUUUAUAGUGAAAAACAAAUUUACUUCACUUUUAAGUGAAGGUAUAUUUUUUUGAAAAUGACCAAAGCUAAGUCAUCGAAUCAUUAGUCAGCUUGAAAAUUAAUUCUGUGAACGUAGAUAUUUACUAUUAUCAAGUAAAAAACAGAAAUUUAAAUUUAUUAAUUGCAAUAAAAGAAAAGUUGGAACGAAAUAAAAAGAAAAGAACUGAAGAAAUUUGGGUCCACCCGUCGGGUAAAAAACGACGUCGUUUUAAUAAAAAAAAUAGAAGUCAACGGGUUAUAACCGGGUCUUACCGGGUCAACCCGUCGAAUCACAGUGGGUUUUUUCUUUUUCUAUUUUUUUUUUAACCCUGCCCGGUUCCAUCCCCAGGUCGGUCAUGUCCCGGGUUAACUUGUCAAGUCGGGUCGAGUUUCAAAACUAUACCAGUUUGACCAUGUUUUGAAUUAAGAAUGCGAUAAUUUAAAGUAUUUUUUAUUUAUAAAUAUAUUAAAAUAAUAUAUAUAUAUAUAUAUAUAUAUUUAAUAUUAAUAUUAAUAUAUCAAAAAGUUCAUAAAUAAAAAAAUAAUUUAAAACUAAAAAAAUAAAAAUAUUCUAAAAAAUACAGUUAAACAACAAUACUAAAUACCACUGACAUAUCAAUUAAAAUUAAAUCUUAUUUUUUAAAAAUAUACUUUAUACGUCCGUGUCAUAAAUUUAGAAUAUUUUAUAAUUUCUUCUAACAAUGAUUGUAGUCUUCUUUUUUAAAAGUUUUUUUUAUCUUUUUUUACAAGAAAGCAACACAGCUGAAGGGGGCAUGAGCUGGCAUUUUAAAAAAGGAUAACAAGCGUCUAAUUGUCGUUGGAUACACGUUCUUUAUCCCUGUUGUCGAGCUGGAGCACAUCAUUGAUAUUUAUUUACAUCAGAGGAAUAUCAAUGGAGCCACCAGAAAUAUGUCAAAUUUAUUGAUUAAUUAUAGCUCAGUCCUUGUAGUUUAUAAAAACUAAUCAAUUACUCCUCGUACUUUUAGAAAUUAUACAUUUAAUUCUCAUGUUUUCUUUUAGACAUUCUUGAAGGGGAAAAAAAUGAACUGAUUUGGUAAAUGUUGAUAAUUAGAUUAUUUAAUUAUUUCUACUACUAUAGAGACCAAUUAACUAGUUUUAAUAAACUAUAGUUAUUAAGUUAUAAUGACUCUUAAAGCUAUGAAUAAAAUUUAAAUGAGUGAGUUAUAACCUUAUCCUUAUAUAUUUUUCAAACAAAUCAUUCAAUACAUGUAAUUUUUAAAAUAAUUAAUUAAUCAUUUCACCAUAUUUGAUUGUCAUGUCAGGGAUAAUAAUAGAAAAGUCGAUGUCAACAUAAGGCGAGCAUUAAGUUAUUCAAAUUCAGCUUCAAUAAAUUCAUUUUAGUUUUUUAGGUGAAAAACAUUCUCUCAACCAAAUUGUGGUUCGAAUUUUUAAUCGCUUGAAAAAAAUAGAAUGCAAACUUUUUUGUAUGAAUGCUAUGAUUAUUGGUAAUUUUUAUCAUCUUUCAUGUUUGUCUGAUAAAAAAAUGAAAAAAAAAAUAUAAUGAUAUCCCAAAAAAUCAAAGUAGUUUUAAAACAAGGUUUAUAUGUUAGUAAUUCGUUAAUAUUUUGGUUUUCACAAUAUGAUUCAUUCUUUCUAACUAAGAAGGUUGAUGAUUGAUGGUUGAUAUCUAAUUAAUACUUGUAAAAGAUCUCCAAUAAUAAAUUUAGAAACUCUCUAAUAAUUAAAUAAGUAUUUUAUGGAGAGAAAAAAUAAUGAUAUUUUUUAGAGAGAUUCUAAAAAUAAAUAUGUAGUUAAGAAUGGAAAUUGAGAACCUAGUUCAUUUAAAAUAAUUAUUUAAUUAAAUAAGUAUUUAUAAACUCUUCGAUACUUAAAUAAGUAUUUUCUUGAGAGAGAAAACAAUGAUAUUUUUAGAGAGAUUUUAAAAAUAAAUAUGCAGUCGAUAAUGAAGAUCAAGAACCUAAUUCCUUUAAGAAUCCAAUGAGUCUUUAUAGCCCAUGCUCACUGUCAUUUGGUGCUAAAACAUCUCUCAUGUGUCAAAAAUAAAAAAUAUUUCUGGCUUAUCAGGGAAAAAAUAUUUCUAACUCAUCAAAUAAGGGAUUUUUUGAUUUAUUAGAGGAAAAAUAUCUCUCUAAUUUGUUAAAAUCUCAUAUCCCAACAAAGAGUCUGAUAAGAUUGCCAAAGACAUUUGUACCUGAACUCAAUGCUUGACUGAGAUAAAGGGUAAUGAAUUUGGCAACUCACAAAACUUGUAUAUGUGUAGGCUUAAUUUUUGAUCGGGCCGAGGAUAUUGAGUUAUUAUCCUGCCUCUAAAUCAUUUAAAAAUAUAUUCAAAUAAAAAUAAAAUAUGCUGAUCUAUCAAAUUUAUUUCAAAGUUCCAAGUGGUAACAUCAAAUAUCUAUGGAUUCUAAACAUCAAAGUAAUAUGAUGGAUCUAUAAAUCAUAAUGAAAAUUUAAUUUAUUUAGAAACCAUUUCCAAAAAACAAAAAAAGAAGGUGAAAGACUAAAUAAAAGGUUAACUCAAUAUCAAGAUAAAAAAUAAAAAGAAAUAGGAUGUGAUUUUUUUUUUUGUGUAUAUUGAUAUUUAGAGUUUAUUUAGUAGUAUGGUUAUCCUGUAUUUUGUUUUAUUCAUGAUCUUGAAAGUAUCUUAUUAAUCAAAAUCUAUUAUAGUUUUACAUGAAUUCUAUUAAAAAUUCUAUUAUAAAACUUUAUUAUAGAAACAGCUUUUUUUUAAAUUUAAUUUUUUAAAUCACAAUGAUAGAAGUUACUACAACGCUCAAACAAUGAUGAUGAUUGUUGUAGGCUGGCGGUUGAGAUGAUGAAUAUACAUGUGUUAAUUUGUUGAUGAGCGAGGAAUUAAUCCUCUCAAAAAACCGUAAUUUAGAGAAGCAUGGGAAAUAUGCACGAUUUAAUUGGGCUUAUUUAAGUUUUGCAGGGCUUCUUAAGAACUCGUUUGGAAACGCGGUUGAAACCGCGUUCCCAUAAAAUUUAAAUUUUUUUUGUUAUAAUUUAAUAUAAUUUAUAUGUUUUGGAUCGUUUUGAUGUGCUGAUGUUAAAAAUGAUUUUUAAAAAAUAAAAAAACAUCAUUUGCAUACAUUUCGGCACGAAAAGUUAUUUGCAAAGCAACCGCUACUACACUGCCAAACACGCUCUAAAAGUCAGCUAUGCACAUGUAUAUUUCUAUUAUUAUUAUUAUAUUAUUAUAUACAAAAACAUAUCAGCAUAUAUGUUUUGGUUUUCUAUUGAAAUGAUCCACAAUUUUGGGCAAUUGAACCAAACUAAAACUAUUUUAGAUAAGUAAAAAAAUUCAAAAUUUCAUUCAAGAUAAAAAAACAAAUAAUUAGAUGUGUAAAACACAUGUUUUGAGCAAUUAAACCAAAAAAAAAACUAAAAAUAUUUUAGAUUAGUAAAAAAUCCAAAAUUUAAUUCAAGAAAAAAAAACAAAUAAUUAUUUCAUCUCAGAAAAUACAUAUAGGGAUUAGUUCAUCUCAGAAAAAGAAUAUAUAGGGAUUAGUUAAUUAUUUUUAAAAAAUUCAGCAACUAAAUUAUUUAUGUCUUGAGAAUACAAGAACUAAAUUAUAAUUUACCCAACUUAAAAUUCUGAUUCCAUCAACCGAGAGAGAAAAGAGAGUAGAGAGAGAGAGAGACGCAAAACAUAGAGAAGCAGCAGUCCUCCAUUUUCUCUCAAAAAGUAAAAGCCUGCGUUGAAUAGAAGAAAGCAAGACCCAACAAUCUCUCUGUCUCUAUAAAAUCUUGUUCUACCCUUGUCUUGCCUUUGUUAUUCUUGCCUCGACCGAUCCCUAUAAGAAGAAGCACAAUCAUGGUGAGUAGCCCUUUACUUGUUUCGAUCUCUAGUACUGCUAUCUGUUUUUAAGUGACGACUGAGAUGACCGUUGAUGCUCUAGAUCUGAGACUUGAUCUCUAAUUCGACGGCAGCGGCAGAUUUAAACGGCUUCGUCUUUUGUCCCUGUGCCUGCACCACUAUUCCGCUAGAUCUUACGCCACUAGUUGAUACUGUUAAUUUUAAUCAUUCAUGUCUCCGAUGCUCCAUUUCGUGUAUUUAUUUUUUCAUAAUGGUCCUAUCCGAACAGUAGUUAAACUCAGUGCUGUGUUUCUUUGAAUUUAUAGAUAGUGCGGCUUUUUGUCCGAUCUAGUCAUCUUGUUUUGUAAAUUAUUUUAGGUUACUUGUAUAAUCUCUGAUUAUUUUUUUUAUUCUCUAGAUGUCAGGAUUUAUGGUUCAGUUGAUCACCAAAUAAUCUUGAAAUGUGAUUUAAUAGACCAAAACUCAAAAAAAAAAUUAAAAAAUUAUUCAACGUGGUCCUUUAUCAUCCUGAAUUGUUCGAGUUUUUGAAGCUUUGAUGGACUAAUGUCAUGAAUCCGAAUGUUAUUUGUUCGGAUAUGUGAUCCAUGGUUUAUAAGCUGCGCCUGCUUAUGUGAUAUCUCCUCUACCAAGGCUUAUCUCGUCAAUAAGAAGGAAUUGAGGAAAUAAUAAUAGAGGGAGGAUCUCUGCUGUUAGGAACCUUGAGGAAGCUGUUGCCCGAGUGCCUUUUGUUUUCUUUGCAUUUCUGUCUCACCGCGUGUUAUUUAACUCUCUGCGUGUGCAGGCCAACGCAGCAUCUGGUAUGGCUGUGCAUGAUGACUGCAAGCUGAAGUUCUUGGAGCUGAAGGCGAAAAGAACUUACCGCUUCAUAGUUUAUAAGAUUGAGGAAAAGCAAAAGCAGGUUAUUGUGGAAAAGCUUGGCGAGCCUGCCCAAAGCUAUGAAGAUUUUACUGCAAGCCUCCCUGCUGAUGAGUGUCGCUAUGCUGUUUAUGAUUUUGAUUUUGUGACUGAAGAGAAUGUCCAGAAGAGCAGAAUUUUCUUCAUUGCAUGGUAAUGACAUUGAACAUUGUUUAUACGCUCACGCUCACGCUCACGCGCACGCUCACGCUAUCACAUAACCGUUUAUUAUUUUUGGGACUUCACUUGUAAGUUUUGCUCAUCAUUUUCUCUGUGGUUUACAAAGGUCUCCUGACACAUCACGGGUGAGAAGCAAGAUGAUUUAUGCUAGUUCCAAGGACAGGUUCAAGAGAGAACUAGAUGGCAUUCAGGUAGAAUUGCAGGCAACUGAUCCAACUGAAAUGGGUCUUGAUGUCAUCAAGAGCCGUGCCAGCUAAAUGCAUGUCUCCAAAUUUCGCAGUGGAGAGUUCGAUGCCCUCUACAUUUGAGCGAAAUGUUUAUAGCUUGUGGCAGUGAACCUGACUGAAUUAUGAGAUUGGUUUGUUUGCUUGAGUUUUACCCUACAAUCCUCUUCUAGAACCAAUCCGGUGAUUUUGGUUCAAUAUUUAUGAUCCGUCAUGUAAUGAACUAAAGGGAUGUGUGUUUCCUUAUAGCUAUGUUCACAAUCUUCGGUGUACCGUCAUCUGAUGGUAGAGAAACCGGGGUUUGUUCCUACAACUUUGCAAAUGGAUGUUUCACUCUUUUUCAGAUUUUUUUUCACGACUGUUUAAUUCAGUCCUGGGAUUUGUCAUUGAAGUGUUGGUAUUGAUGGUUCAUUUUAUACAUGGAUGUGGUACUAACCAAAAAGAGUCUGCUUUUCUUCUACAAUAAUUUCUUUCCCCAGAUACUUGCAACUAAUUGUUUAUAUGGCAAUGGAAAGUAGCUGGAAAAGUGUUUGCUGAUAUGCCUGUAAAUAUUUUUGACAAGAAUUAGUUGUUGGAGCCCUGUUUCUUUGGCACCGUUGGUGGAUGCUUUCUCCGAAAAGAACAUGUCGUGCUGUCAUAUUAUGUACGUGCAUCCUGCUCAGUUUAACAUGAAAAUGUUCUGUCAUUGCUGUUAUUUGUGCUGAAAACACAGGUUCCCAAAUUCUAAAUGUACAGGCACAGGAGCUUCAUGACAGGGAAGGGACGAGGAUGAUAAGAUUCAAGAAUGGAAGGCUCAUUUAGCCUAUUUUGUCUAGUGUCUUCCUAGAUUCAUAUAUUUCUUACCUUCCAAAGAGGUGGCGGGAAAAGAUGAGUGCUUCCAUUAGAAACAAAAGUUUUCUGCUGCCUUCCUAUUGACAAGCGCAUCAGUCUCUCGUAUUCUUCCCCUCACAAUCUCUUCAAUUUGGGCGGUAGGAAAUCAUGCUGCCCUUGUUGCUUGUCUUCACCAUGUUCGCUUCGUUUCUCUCCCAAGUCCUAAAUCAAACGACUGAAGUUUGGGUUCACCAUCUUAAUUUCUCCACUCGUUGACGACGUCUUCCCAAAAUCUCAAAUUUCUACGCCUUCGUUUUACACAACAACAAAUGAAGAGUUGCACUUUAGCAAUCAAUGUGAUCGAUCAAAAUUUAUAGACCAGUAUGCCAUGAGAAACGGUCGUUUAAAAAUGGAAAAUUAGGCUUCUAAAAGUCUUUUAAGAUGCUGCCAACCCAUUUCUCAGCUCUGAAUAUCAAUUCCCUGUAACACAAUUGCUGUGAGAAGUUUGAAAAAGAAGCUAUUCAAAGUGGCACAUAAAUUGAUCGCAAAGACAUAGAAAUUAUUGGAGCUAAGUUAUUGUAUGAAAAUAACAGCUUCCACAAAGAAUCAUUGCAAGUUAUGAGAGGCCUGAACAGUGGGCUGCCAAAAUUUACUAACAGAUUCUGAUGAAUAAAUUGGCAAAGCUUCUUUCAGCUUCAUACCGGUUAUCCUAUAAUACAAACUACAUGAAAAAAUGUCUAUAUCUGUUUGGCAAUAUAAUAAUUAGCGCCUAAGGUCCAGGAACAACGUUCCAUCUUUAAGACCAUCUCACUCGCAUAGGGAUCUCUGCCAGGUUUUCAUGAAACAAUACACCGUUCCACUAAUUUUCAGGCAUAACUGGGUGGGUAGAAAUAGNNNNNNNNNNNNNNNNNNNNNNNNNNNNNNNNNNNNNNNNNNNNNNNNNNNNNNNNNNNNNNNNNNNNNNNNNNNNNNNNNNNNNNNNNNNNNNNNNNNNCAUGAACAUUGACCACGGGAGGUUGAAUCACUGAACUUUAUAUUUACAGUAACUUUUUAAGCUAUUUUGAACAGAAAUUUUUUGAUCACCAAACAAGCUAGACUGAGGUAAGUUCCUGCCUUAUCUCCAUCUUCAUUUUCUUUUGUUUUAGAUGAAAAAUUACAUGUCUGUGUACUUGCAUGAUCAAUUACCGUGUGUUCGUCAAUUGACAAUUAUCGUAAUGAGUUCCUAUUAGCAUGUCAUGUAGGACUACUUUUAUUUAUAAAUCAAAAUUUUUUGUUUAGUUUUGUGUGUUUGCAUGCUGCGAAAGAAAGCUGGGUUUCUUUGAAUGUAUAAAUAAAUUCUGUUCUGUUUGUUUUUUUCCUCUAUUUUUGAUGAGAUAACAGCAUGCUGGCAAUGAAGUUUUGCAUGAUCAUUCAAAUAUUAUGGCUGAAACUGAGUUUCUGAACAGUUGAAAAUUUAUGGGUUGCAAUUACAUUUCAUUACAAAUUAACAUGAACAUUCUCAUUGACAUACAUGCACGGUUAAUUUUUUUUGCCAAACACACAGCUUUUGUAAAUGCUAAACAUUGAGUGCUUUAUUAUUGUAUUAGUCCACGGUUUAUUUAUGUGCCACAAUUUAAUUGAUAUCAUUUUUAUUCAUUUCAAACUUUUGUUAAAUGUUUUAAAAGAUAUCAUGGAAGGUCUUGAAUCUUCUGAUAAGGCUGCUUGGACAAAGGAAAUGUUGCAUAUAUUUUGUGAUAUAUGCAUUAAGGCAAUUGAUAUGGGAAUGAGACCUAAUACUCAUUUCGAUAAACCGGGGUGGAAAUUUCUUAUAACAUCAUUUAAAGAACAAACUGGGCAUGCAUUUACUAAAACACAAUUGAAAAACAAAUGGGAUGGAUGCAAAAAGGAUUGGAGGAUAUGGAAUAAGCUGGUUUCUGAAACCGGUGUUGGCUGGAAUAGUGAAUUAGGCACAAUUGCAGCUAGUGAUGAGUGGUGGAAACAAAAAAUUCAGGUACAUUCCUUGUCAUCGGCACAAUUUAUUUUAUUAUUUUCAAAUUCCAGCCCUAAAAUUUUACUAGUCUUGAUCCUUCAUUACUUUAUUUAAUUUAUAUGCAGGAAAUUAGAGGAGCCAAAAAAUUCAGACAUGUUAGUAUUGAGCCGUCUUUAAAGAAUAAAUUUGACCGAAUGUAUUCCAACAUUGUUGCAACUGGAGUGUUUGCAUGGGCUCCUUCAUCAGGUGUACCUGCUGGCAGUGGUGUUGAUCCUGGUACAAGCAAUGCCGACAUUGUUGAUGAUGGUUUGGAAGAGGGCAGCGGUGAUUCGGAGGAAGAUGUGAUUCCAGAUUUCCAGACUGCUAUGGCUCGAAUGGUUGGAGGGAUACAUAUGUCUAGCAGCACCAAUACAAAAAGCGGCGAGAAAAGAAAAGAACGAGAUCAUUAUGAUGUGCGAGGUAGAAAGAAGAAAACAUCUGGAAUUGGUGUUAAGUUGCUGACAAGGUGCAAUCAUCUACUUGAGAGUAUGUCAACUAAGAGUGAUUCGACGUCUGUUAAUAUGGAUCGUGAAGGCUGUAGUAUUCCCGAGGUCAUGGCUGAGCUGCACUCCAUUCCUGGAGUUUCAGUUGACGAUGAUUUUCAUGACUUCGCUACGGAGUAUCUUAGUCUAAGAAGGAAAAGAGAAAUGUGGUCCAGUAUGGGCGAUAUGCAACAGAAGUUGCGAUGGUUGCAGCGAAUGUAUGAACGAAGUAAACGUGCUUAGCUGACAAGGUAUUAUUAAAGUAUAUUAACUGUUAAUCAAUUAAGUAUGUUCAAGUGCUUACAAUAUUUAUACAUGUUUUGUUUUAUUGUUGCAGAGUAAUGGGAUGCCGGUUUUUAAAAGAGUAGUUUCCAUUUGCCAAAGUUUGUUCGAGGCAUUGUAUUUGCGGUAAUUGAUGUACUGUUAUAUUUAUUAAACUGCUUUACGGGAUUUAACAGACUUGUAUGAGAAAUUGUUGGUUGUAAUGUUGUAUUUUAUCAAUGAAUUACAAUGUUCAAUGGUUAAUGUUCAAUGGUUGACAUUUUAAUGGAAUUGGUUGGUAAUUUACCUUAACUGAUUUGUUAACUAUAUAUUUGUAUUUGCUGCCGUGAGGUCUGCUGGGAAUAAUAAUACAUGAUGCUGUAUUUCUUUCCUUAGCUGUACUUUUUUCAAUUUGUUAGCAACUGUUAGAUUAGGCAUGAAAGGAGAAACCAAGAUAUAUGCUUUGUAUGAGAUGGAGAGAGUAAUAAUAAUAAAGACUCAAUAGGCAACAUUUAUGUGUGCUGAAGGAGGGAAUAUUUGAUGAUAUUUGCUGCAUUGUUUACCCCUUUAGGAUUCAUUGUCCAAAUGGGAGAGGGGGGAUAAAAAUGAACCAAGGCAAAUAAAAAAUGACAGAUUGUUGCUUAUAAUUUACCUUUACUGUUGAUCCUUCUUUCUUUGCUGCCAUGAGGUUUCAUAAUACAUGCUGCUGUGUAUCUUUCAUUUGCAGUAAUUUUUUCAAUUGGUUAGCUAGAGAUUGACGUGUUGCAUACUGUUUUUGCCUUGGCUGUCUAGUGUUAGCUUGUGAGGUCUGAAACAACAACAUCUUUUGCAAAUUGUUUGUGUUUUUUUCAUUGUUGCCGUGAGCUGUGAUGGGACUAAUGUUGUUGCUUUUUCUUCCUUUUCUGUGUUGAUGGUCUUCCUACUGGUUCAGUGACUUGUAAUUGUUAGGAAUGGGCAGCUACUGUUAGCUUGUGAGGUCUGAAACAACAACAUCUUUUGAGUAAUUGUUUGUGUUUUUUUCAUGGUUGUCGUGAGCUGUGAUGGGACUAAUGUUGUUUCUUUUUCUUCCUUUUCUGUGUUGAUGGUCUUCCUACUGGUUCAGUGACUUGUAAUUGUUAGGAAUGGGCAGCUACUGUUAGCUUGUGAGGUCUGAAAAAGCAACCCCUUUUGCAGUAAUUGUUUGUGUUUUUUUCAUGGUUGCCGUGAGCUGUGAUGGGACUAAUGUUGUUGCUUUUUCUUCCUUUUCUGUGUUGCUUGUCUUCCUACUGGUUCAGUGAGUUUUAGCUCUGUUUUUUUUCCUUUAAACAUGUCAGGAUGGUGUACAUGCAUGUGCUGUAAAAGAUGAUUAUAUGAGCUGUAAAAGAUGAUUUAUAUGCUACUUUUACAGCACAUGCAUACAUGUGAAUGUACUGAUUUUGAAAGCUGAAAAAUUGUAAAAUAUACGUAAAGAGGAUUGAAAUUUUCUAUAUAAAGAGGAAUGUGUACAUCAUAUUUUACAAUGACAUAGCUUUCUAUAACAAGCUUCUAAAACCUUUCAAUUGCACCAAAUACAAGCAAGUAGAAUACUUCUUUUUUGCUGGCUUUACAGGUAUGGAAAAAAACUUAUGUCGCACCAACUCUAUGAUAGUAUUUUUAUUGAAUGUUAUUUAAUUAUUUAAAUAUUUUUAUUAACAACAUAUAAUUUUGUUUUUGUUUCCAUGUAAUUGAAGUUAUGGAUGAUCCACGAUUUAAUAACAUAUUUAAUGAAGAUUUCGAUGGUAAUUAUGAUGAUGUAAUGAACCGGAUUGUAGAUCAAAUUAAUUAUCCUAGUUGUGGAGUUAAUGGUGCUUCAGUUGAUGGUGCCGGAGAUGAUAGUAAUGGAAACGACUCCGACGACAGUAAUGACGACGACGAUGAUGAUGCCGAUGAUGAUGAUGAUGCCGACAUUGACGGUGAUAGUGAUGAUGACGAUGCAUUUAUUAUAAGGAGGCAUUUUGAUAGGAAAAAAUUAAAUUUAUGCACAGCUGGAGCUAUAAACGCGUAUUAUAUUAAUUAUAUGUAUAAAGAACCAUGUAUGGUUUCCUAUAACACAGGGAUGCGUUGGUUGACGGAGGUUUUAAGAGGUCAUUGGAAACGAAGUGUUAACAUGUUCAGGAUGGACGCAACAACUUUGUUGAGUUUGUGCACCGAUUUGGAAACGAACCAUGGCUUAAAACCGUCAAGAAGAAUGAGCGUUAUUGAAAAGGUGGCAAUGUUUCUAUUUACAAUAGCAGUUGGGGCGUCAAAUAGACAAGUGCAGGAAAGAUUCCAGCAUUCAGGUGAAACUGUUAGUAGAUGUUUUAAAGAAGUGCUUAAAUCAUUACGUUUGUUUGCUGUAGAAAUCAUAAAACCAGUAGAUCCACAAUUUACGAGCACACCAAGAGAAAUUGCUAUGAAUCCAAGAUUUAUGCCACAUUUCAAGGUAAGAUUAAUUUUUUUAUAUAUAUAAUUAAGUAGUUUAAUUAAGUUGUUCGGAGGAGUAUGAAAUAUAUUAUAAAUGUUUAUAUGAGUACUAUAAAUGUUUUUGUGGCAUGUAGAAUUGUGUUGGUGCAAUUGAUGGAACACAUGUUCGUGCAUGCGUACCAGCUGCAAAUCAAAUUCCAUUUAUUGGAAGAAAAGGUGUACCAACACAAAAUGUAAUGGCCGCUUGUAGUUUCGACAUGCAAUUCAUGUUCGUGUGGGCAGGAUGGGAAGGCAGUGCACACGAUACUCGUAUUUUUCUGGAGGCUAUUGACAAUAGCACUAUCAACUUUCCAAAACCUCCAGAAGGUUGUGAUUUUGACUAAAUUGAAGAUUGGGUAAUUGAAGGAAUAUAAUUAUUUUUUUUAGUUUUGUUUAAAAUUACAAUGUUAUUUUUUUCAGGAAAAUAUUAUUUGGUUGAUGCUGGAUAUCCAAACGAGUAUGGAUAUUUGGGUCCCUACAAAGGCGAGAGGUAUCACUUCCAAGAAUUUAGACGUCGUGGACAACCAAGUGGUCGGAAAGAAGUGUUUAAUCGUGCACACUCGUCACUACGUAACGUGAUCGAACGUUCUUUUGGGGUAUGGAAACAGAGGUGGAGAAUUUUGCAAAACAUGCCUGCUUAUCCAUACAAAACACAAGUUGAAAUUGUAGUUGCAUCAAUGGCACUACAUAAUUAUAUUAGAAGGAGAUCGCAAGAUGAUGCAGUUUUUUCUGAGUAUGAUCGCAACCCCAAUUUGAUUCCAGAUGACUUUUUGCCUGAUACUGUUCAGGCUUCGGCCGUUCAAGGCUCACAGAGGCCUUCACGUAUGGAUUUUGUACGCGAUGGAAUUGCCAAUAGUUUGAUGGAACAAUAAAAGAGUACAUUAAUGUAUGACAAUUUUUCAUUUUGUUAUGUAAUCAUAAUUACAAAACACCUAUGUUUUGGAAUUAUAUAUAUGUGUCUAUACAUGUCAUUUUAAUUAAUUCCAAUCAAAUAUUUAAUUCCAAUCAAAUAUAAAACACAAACCAUAUUAACAAAAUAGAAGAAAUUUUUUUUUGAACCACAGUUUUUACCAAACACAAAACUGCUUUUUUUCAACCACAAUUGUUGAACCACAGUUUUGUAACCAAACACCUAAAACUGCUUUUUUUAAAACCACAACUUCAACCACAGUUUUUACCAAACACCAAUUUUUUUAAAAAUCAACCUCACAAAAAGUACUUUUUAUGAAACUGAUUUUUACAAACCGCAACCACAAAAGCUACCACAAUACUAAACACACUCUUAAUUAAAACGCAGUUGGCAGCCGUUUGGUAAUGAAAAAACUUGAUUUACUGUGCCGGUCCCACGUGUUUUUUGGGGCUGAAACGUUAAAAAUGAAAAGCAGGAAAAUCAUGCUGAAAAUUCAUUGUGCAUGCUAAUUGCACUGUUCACUGAACAGUGCAAUUAACAUGCACAGUGUACACGGUUAAAACUCUUCUUUUUUUUUUUAAUUAAUUUUAUUAAUAUUUUUUAAAAAAAAAUAGUUUAGAGUAAAUUAAAUUUAUUUGCACUGUGAUAUGAACAAUAUAUUUUUACCAAAAAACUAGUAUAAAGUAAAUUAAAUUUACUCGCACUGUAAUAUCAAUUUUAUACAUGAUAAUAUUUUAUUUAAUUGUAUUAUUAAAUAGUUUAAUGGAAUAAUAAAAAAUAUUUUAUAUAAAGUAUUAUUUAUUUCAUAAUGUAAUAUGAGUAAUUAAUUCUAUAAUAUUUAAAUUUAAAACUAUCAAUAUUAAUAUAUAUUUUUUAAAAUUAUUUUAUAACCUCAAUUUCAAAAGCAUUCUUACUCAAACACAUUAAACUACUUUUUUUCAACCACAGUUUUAACCAAACACCUAUUUUUUCAAACCAAUCUCAAUUAAAAGUACUUUUUAUAAAACUACUUUUUUCAAACCACAACCACAACCACUACCGCAAUACCAAACACACACUUACUAUUAUCAAGUAAAAAACAGAAAUUUAAAUUUAUUAAUUGCAAUAAAAGAAAAGUUGGAACGAAAUAAAAAGAAAAAAACUGAAGAAAUUUGGGUCCACCCGUCGGGUAAAAAACGACGUCGUUUUAAUAAAAAAAAUAGAAAUCAACGGGUUACAACCGGGUCUUACCGGGUCAACCCGUCGAAUCACAUUGGGUUUUUUCUUUUUCUAUUUUUUUUUCAACCCUGCCCGGUUCCAACCCCAGGUCGGUCGGGUCCUGGGUUAACUCGUCGAGUCGGGCCGAGUUUCAAAACUAUAACAGUUUGACCACAUUUUGAAUUAAGAAUGUGAUAAUUUAAAGUAUUUUUUAUUUAUAAAUAUAUUAAAAUAAUAUAUAUAUAUAUAUAUAUAUAUAUAUAUAUAUAUAUAUAUAUAUCAAAAAGUUCAUAAAUAAAAAAAUAAUUUAAAACUAAAAAAAUAAAAAUAUUCUAAAAAAUACAGUUAAACAACAAUACUAAAUACCACUGACAUAUCAAUUAAAAUUAAAUCUUAUUUUUUAAAAAUAUACUUUAUACGUCCGUGUCAUAAAUUUAGAAUAUUUUAUAAUUUCUUCUAACAAUGAUUGUAGUCUUCUUUUUUAAAAGUUUUUUUUUUCUUUUUUUACAAGAAAGCAACACAGCUGAAGGGGGCAUGAGCUGGCAUUUUAAAAAAGGAUAACAAGCGUCUAAUUGUCGUUGGAUACACGUUCUUUAUCCCUGUUGUCGAGCUGGAGCACAUCAUUGAUAUUUAUUUACAUCAGAGGAAUAUCAAUGGAGCCACCAGAAAUAUGUCAAAUUUAUUGAUUAAUUAUAGCUCAGUCCUUGUAGUUUAUAAAAACUAAUCAAUUACUCCUCGUACUUUUAGAAAUUAUACAUUUAAUUCUCAUGUUUUCUUUUAGACAUUCUUGAAGGGGAAAAAAAUGAACUGAUUUGGUAAAUGUUGAUAAUUAGAUUAUUUAAUUAUUUCUACUACUAUAGAGACCAAUUAACUAGUUUUAAUAAACUAUAGUUAUUAAGUUAUAAUGACUCUUAAAGCUAUGAAUAAAAUUUAAAUGAGUGAGUUAUAACCUUAUCCUUAUAUAUUUUUCAAACAAAUCAUUCAAUACAUGUAAUUUUUAAAAUAAUUAAUUAAUCAUUUCACCAUAUUUGAUUGUCAUGUCAGGGAUAAUAAUAGAAAAGUCGAUGUCAACAUAAGGCGAGCAUUAAGUUAUUCAAAUUCAGCUUCAAUAAAUUCAUUUUAGUUUUUUAGGUGAAAAAAAUUCUCUCAACCAAAUUGUGGUUCGAAUUUUUAAUCGCUUGAAAAAAAUAGAAUGCAAACUUUUUUGUAUGAAUGCUAUGAUUAUUGGUAAUUUUUAUCAUCUUUCAUGUUUGUCUGAUAAAAAAAUAAAAAAAAAUAUAAUGAUAUCCUAAAAAAUCAAAGUAGUUUUAAAAUAAGGUUUAUAUGUUAGUAAUUAGUUAAUAUUUUGGUUUUCAUAAUAUGAUUCAUUCUUUCUAACCAAGAAGGUUGAUGGUUGAUGUCUAAUUAAUACUUGUAAAAGAUCUCCAAUAAUAAAUUUAGAAACUCUCUAAUAAUUAAAUAAGUGUUUUAUGGAGAGAAAAGAUAAUGAUAUUUUUUAGAGAGAUUCUAAAAAUAAAUAUGUAAUUAAGAAUGGAAAUUGAGAACCUAGUUCAUUUAAAAUAAUUAUUUAAUUAAAUACUUAUUUUAUAAACUCUUCGAUACUUAAAUAAGUAUUUUCCUGAGAGAGAAAACAAUGAUAUUUUUUAGAGAGAUUUUAGAAAUAAAUAUGCAGUCGAUAAUGAAGAUCGAGAACCUAAUUACUUUAAGAAUCCAAUAAGUCUUUAUAGCCCAUGCUCCCUGUCAUUUGGUGCUAAAACAUCUCUCAUGUGUCAAAAAGAAAAAAAAAUUCUGACUUAUCAAGGAAAAAAUAUUUCUAACUCAUCAAAUGAGGGAUUUUUUGAUUUAUUAGAGGAAAAAUAUCUCUCUAAUUUGUUAAAAUCUCAUAUUCCAACAAAGAGUCUGAUAAGAUUGCCAAAGGCAUUUGUACCUGAACUCAAUGCUUGACUGAGAUAAAGGGUAAUGAAUUUGGCAACUCACAAAACUUGUAUAUGUGUAGGCUUAAUUUUUGACCGGGCCCGAGGAUAUUGGGUUAUUAUCCUGCCUUUAAUUCAUUUAAAAAUAUAUUCAAAUAAAAAUAAAAUAUGCUGAUAUAUCAAAUUUAUUUCAAAGUUCCAAGCGGUAACAUCAAAUAUCUAUGGAUCCUAAACAUCAAAGUAAUAUGAUGGAUCCAUAUAUCAUAAUGAAAAUUUAAUUUAUUUAGAAACCAUUUCCAAAAAACAAAAAAAAAGAAGGUGAAAGACUAAAUAAAAGGUUAACUCAAUAUCAAGAUAAAAAAGAAAAAGAAAUGGGAUGUGAUUUUUUUUUUGUGUAUAUUGAUAUUUAGAGUUUAUUUAGUAGUAUGGUUAUCCUGUAUUUUGUUUUAUUCAUGAUCUUGAAAGUAUCUUAUUAAUCAAAAUCUAUCAUAGUUUUACAUGAAUUCUAUUAAAAAUUCUAUUUUUAAACUUUAUUAUAGAAACAGCUUUUUUAAAAUUUAAUUUUUUAAAUCACAAUGAUAGAAGUUACUACAACGCUCAAACAAUGAUGAUGAUUGUUGUAGGCUGGCGGUUGAGAUGAUGAAUAUACAUGUGUUAAUUUGUUGAUGAGCGAGGAAUUAAUCCUCUUAAAAAAGCGUAAUUUAGAGAAGCAUGGGAAAUAUGCACGAUUUAAUUGGGCUUAUUUAAGUUUUGCAGGGCUUUUUAAGAACUCGUUUGGAAACGCGGUUGAAACCGCGUUCCCACAAAAUUUAAAUUUUUUUUGUUAUAAUUUAAUAUAAUUUGUAUGUUUUGGAUCGUUUUGAUGUGCUGAUAUUAAAAAUAAUUUUUAAAAAAUAAAAAAAAACAUUUGUAUACAUUUCGGCACGAAAAGUUAUUUGAAAAGCAAUCGCUACCACACUGCCAAACACACUCUAAAAGUCAGCUAUGCACAUGUAUAUUUCUAUUAUUAUUAUAUUAUUAUUAUAUACAAAAACAUAUCAGCAUAUAUGUUUUGGUUUUCUAUUGAAAUGAUCCACAAUUUUGGGCAAUUGAACCAAACUAAAACUAUUUUAGAUAAGAAAAAAAAUUCAAAAUUUAAUUCAAGAUAAAAAAACAAAUAAUUAGAUGUGUAAAACACAUGUUUUGAGCAAUUAAACCAAAAAAAAAACUAAAAAUAUUUUAGAUUAGUAAAAAAUCCAAAAUUUAAUUCAAGAAAAAAAACAAAUAAUUAUUUCAUCUCAGAAAAUACAUAUAGGGAUUAGUUCAUCUCAGAAAAAGAAUAUAUAGGGAUUAGUUAAUUAUUUUUUAAAAAUUUAGCAACUAAAUUAUUUAUGUCUUGAGAAUACAAGAACUAAAUUAUAAUUUACCCAACUUAAAAUUCUGAUUCCAUCAACCGAGAGAGAAAAGAGAGUAGAGAGAGAGAGAGACGCAAAACAUAGAGAAGCAGCAGUCCUCCAUUUUCUCUCAAAAAGUAAAAGCCUGCGUUGAAUAGAAGAAAGCAAGACCCAACAAUCUCUCUGUCUCUAUAAAAUCUUGUUCUACCCUUGUCUUGCCUUUGUUAUUCUUGCCUCGACCGAUCCCUAUAAGAAGAAGCACAAUCAUGGUGAGUAGCCCUUUACUUGUUUCGAUCUCUAGUACUGCUAUCUGUUUUUAAGUGACGACUGAGAUGACCGUUGAUGCUCUAGAUCUGAGACUUGAUCUCUAAUUUGACGGCAGCGGCAGAUUUAAAUGGCUUCGCCUUUUGUCCCUGUGCUUGCAUCACCAAUCCGCUAGAUCUUACGCCACUAGUUGAUACUGUUAAUCUUAAUCAUUCAUGUCUCCGAUGCUCCAUUUCGUGUAUUUAUUUUUUCAUAAUGGUCCUAUCCGAACAGUAGUUAAACUCAGUGCUGUGUUUCUUUGAAUUUAUAGAUAGUGCGGCUUUUUGUCCGAUCUAGUCAUCUUGUUUUGUAAAUUAUUUUAGGUUACUUGUAUAAUCUCUGAUUCUUUUUUUAUUUGCUAGAUGUCAGGAUUUACGGUUCAGUUGAUCACCAAAUAAUCUUGAAAUGUGAUUUAAUAGACCAAAACUCAAAAAAAAAAUUAAAAAAUUAUUCAACGUGGUCCUUUAUCAUCCUGAAUUGUUCGAGUUUUUGAAGCUUUGAUGGACUAAUGUCAUGAAUCCGAAUGUUAUUUGUUCGGAUAUGUGAUCCAUGGUUUAUAAGCUGCGCCUGCUUAUGUGAUAUCUCCUCUACCAAGGCUUAUCUCGUCAAUAAGAAGGAAUUGAGGAAAUAAUAAUAGAGGGAGGAUCUCUGCUGUUAGGAACCUUGAGGAAGCUGUUGCCCGAGUGCCUUUUGUUUUCUUUGCAUUUCUGUCUCACCGCGUGUUAUUUAACUCUCUGCGUGUGCAGGCCAACGCAGCAUCUGGUAUGGCUGUGCAUGAUGACUGCAAGCUGAAGUUCUUGGAGCUGAAGGCGAAAAGAACUUACCGCUUCAUAGUUUAUAAGAUUGAGGAAAAGCAAAAGCAGGUUAUUGUGGAAAAGCUUGGCGAGCCUGCCCAAAGCUAUGAAGAUUUUACUGCAAGCCUCCCUGCUGAUGAGUGUCGCUAUGCUGUUUAUGAUUUUGAUUUUGUGACUGAAGAGAAUGUCCAGAAGAGCAGAAUUUUCUUCAUUGCAUGGUAAUGACAUUGAACAUUGUUUAUACGCUCACGCUCACGCUCACGCGCACGCUCACGCUAUCACAUAACCGUUUAUUAUUUUUGGGACUUCACUUGUAAGUUUUGCUCAUCAUUUUCUCUGUGGUUUACAAAGGUCUCCUGACACAUCACGGGUGAGAAGCAAGAUGAUUUAUGCUAGUUCCAAGGACAGGUUCAAGAGAGAACUAGAUGGCAUUCAGGUAGAAUUGCAGGCAACUGAUCCAACUGAAAUGGGUCUUGAUGUCAUCAAGAGCCGUGCCAGCUAAAUGCAUGUCUCCAAAUUUCGCAGUGGAGAGUUCGAUGCCCUCUACAUUUGAGCGAAAUGUUUAUAGCUUGUGGCAGUGAACCUGACUGAAUUAUGAGAUUGGUUUGUUUGCUUGAGUUUUACCCUACAAUCCUCUUCUAGAACCAAUCCGGUGAUUUUGGUUCAAUAUUUAUGAUCCGUCAUGUAAUGAACUAAAGGGAUGUGUGUUUCCUUAUAGCUAUGUUCACAAUCUUCGGUGUACCGUCAUCUGAUGGUAGAGAAACCGGGGUUUGUU